GACGAACCGAGCGAACGUUGUUCGGAAUCACUGGGCUUAAAGGGCGCGUAGGCGGGCCGCCGCGUCCGGGGUGAAAUCCUCCCGCUCAACGGGAGAACGGCCUCGGAUACGGGCGGCCUGGAGGGGGGUAGGGGCACCUGGAACUGUGGGUGGAGCGGUGAAAUGCGUUGAUAUCCACAGGAACUCCGGUGGCGAAGGCGAGGUGCUGGACCCCAACUGACGCUGAGGCGCGAAAGCCAGGGGAGCGAACGGG
rnacentral:rRNA from 1 species